rnacentral:lncRNA from 1 species
UUGAUGCGAUGCCUCAGAUCAGCAUAGGCUCUGGAUAGGGCGGCCCUGUCAGACUUAGCCGUGUGCCUUGGGAGCUUCCCCUUCUGUCCUGGCUUCGAUCUCCAUCUUCUCUGAGUCGAGCCUCGACGAGCCCCGAGGUCGGGAACUCGGUCGUGGCUUCCUGUCCUCGGGGUCUCGAGGCGUUCUUCCGAAAUGACUUGACAGCGAGAAAUCAAGUCCUCUGAUUUUGGCACGUACACUAGUCCCUAAAGAAACAAGUUACAAGUCCCUAAAUCACAUUCAAUUUGCAACCAGAAAUCGGGAAUAUUAAUAUAUAGAUGAUGUUGCUAUCAUAAAAUAAUACCAAAAAUACUCAACAGCAGUUAGUUGCACCGUACAUCAAUGAUGUAAGCUAGUCACAAUAUUGUGUUCAUAAACAUUUAGCAAAAAAUUACAUAUCACUAAUAUCUCUCGAUUGUAAUGUAAAAUUUUCUUGAAAUUCUCGGCAAAAUGAUGGCUAAUCUGUAUGUCGUCAAAAAUAUGCUUCUAGUACUUCAAUAUCCAAAACCUGUAGAAGAAAUAAGAAAUUUCAGUUAGAAAAACUAUAUAUAACAAUGUAGAUGGAAUGUUAUCACAGUAGGUAUGGGAAUUGACAAGAAGAACAGUAAGUUUAGUAGGUGUAUCAUUGCCUGGAUUAUAGCAAUUGAUAAGAUUCUCUAUUUUCACAAAGCUGAGUGGAAACAACAGCUCCAUGACAAAUAAAAAGAUAGUGACAGUAUUAUUUCCUUAUUUUUCAGCAGACAGAGAGACUAAUUAUAAUCAUUAAACAUUAGAGUGUAAAAGAGGACGGUGAGGAACACGCAGUGUUCAUCAGUUUUUCAGUGGCCUACGUGCGAACAAAAUUCAGAAGACAAUACAGUCCAACAAGAUCUCACAUCAUUCUCCACCAUUAGAAAAAAGGGAUUUGGGGAAGAAGUUAAGAACAGUCAUUGCAUAAUCAAUUUGCAACGAACUCUACAACACUCUAGAAGCUUACGGCAAGCUUUAAUUGCAAUUAAAUUAGUAGGGCCUCUAAAACCCAAGAGGAAUCAGUGAAUCAAUGGAACAAUUAACAGUAACUUAGCUCAAUCACUAGCAUGCAAAAAGCAAGCUUGAGAACCUAAAGGCUAAAAAUUUCAGCUUGGCACUACUAAGUUAAAGAGAAAAGAUUAGGCAUACAAGAAUAAGAAUGACUGAAUGCAAAUCUCUCAAGUAGCAGUAAGGCAAGUAGGCAUACUAAAAGAUGUCACAUUAGACAAGUAAUUUAGGAAGUGAACUCAGCCAACAGUAUCUGAACUCAGCUACUAAAAGAUGUCACAUUAGACAACUCAGCCAACAAAGGAGAUUUUCAGUCUCUGAUGCUAAUCCUGAGAGGGCUGAGAACCUUUUCAAAUGCAUAUUGUAUGAAUACUAAUGAAAAUAAGAGGGAUGCUGGGUAUAUAAGUUAACAAGUCUUAAAUCCUAAUGACGCAUUUUAAAUCCGUGAGGGCCUAGGCCCAGAGCGGACAAUAUCACUAGCGGGCUGGGCUGUUACAUAUAAUCUAAAAAAUUUUGCACCCCAAUUAAGUAGGAUUCGUCAAGUCGGUUAUCAACAAGUUGCAUCCAUCGCUUACUUGGUGCCAUAACCUUGGAUAGUAAAUAGAAAUAAUAUUUAAAAAAUUAAGAUCACAAAAGCAUUAAGAUGCACAUUACUUAUAAAAGAAAGUACUACGAUGCACAUUACUUGUUAUUACACUUGUCAGAAUCAUCUUUAUGACUAAACUUCUUAUGAUUUGACAAGAAUGAAAUAAACUACAAGUUGAUAUGCAUAACAUAUAACUCACAAUUGCUCAACAAAAUGAGAAAUUAAAACACAUAAGACACUCUAAAAUUAAAUCACUGAUUUUUUAUCUUGUCUUCCUUAAAUAAAAAAAAUGAUACAAUAACUAUCAUUCUAUGCUUUUGAUAUUGUAUAGUAAACAAUAGAACCUAAAAGAAAACCUAAAAGGUCAAUUAGCAAGAGAGAUUUCGACAUAUAGAACCCGGGAUUUUGACUCUCCAUAUAUAGAAUUCUAAGUUGCAGAAAACAAAUAAAGAAACAAAAAAUUGAAGAAGCCUAUAGUAGCUAUAGGAAGUUAAUAGCGACUAAUCAACUGUGCUUUCUGAAAAUUUAUUAGAAGAACAAUGUAUGUAUAGCAGCUCCUGGAUUUGAAUUACAGAGGAGAUCUGACUCAUCUCCCAUGUGAAUUCUUCAUCACUUGCUUCAAUUUAUUCAGAAAGUAGGGGCUCUUUUUUUGUAUUUAAAAAUGCUUGCAUUUUAUUCUUAACAUAAUUCAGAACUAAAAAGGAAAGAAAAAUAGAUUAAUGUAAUCCAAUGAAAGAUGUAUCACCAAUUUAAUAAAAGAUAUUUAAUUAGUCAGAGAAUCCACUGCAAACUUGGAGUCUCGUCCACGACAAUGUUUCUUUGUUCUUCAACUGGACAAAGAUUUCUCGAAUAGGCCAAACUUAAUUUUCUCAUUAAUUUAAGCAAACAAAAUUCCAUAAAACUCAACAUUCUAAUUAGAAAAUUCCUAUAUUAUCCACUUAUAUGAAGAUAUGAUUGCGACAUGUUUGUACUUUCUUGCUAUGAAAAGACUAACUGAGCAAAAGCACGACAAAAAGGUUAUGAUCGUGACAUGUUUGUACUUUCUUGCUAUGAAAAGACUAACUGAGCAAAAGCACGACAAAAAGGUUCAACAAAGGCUGCGUUCUGCCAAAAAUUUUACUCUUCAGCUGACAUCUUAUAUGUUUUUCUUCAUGUUAGAAAAAGAUAUCUUACUGAAAUCAGAUAAUCUUUGAGUUAAAAGAGGUCCUUUUAUUCACAAAAUGCAGUUUCAUUAACUUAUGGUGCAAUUAUUGAUGAUCCUUCUAAUGCUUUUGAUAUUGUAGUACUAGUUAAACUAUAAAAUUAUUUCCACAAACACUUAAAUUGAUAGUCUUUUUCCGUUUCUUUCCACCCAUCGAACUAAAACAAUUAGUAAAGUAAAUUAAACAAAAUCAAAUAAACAGAACAGAUUUCUGAUUCAAUGGGGGGGAAAAAGCACGAAUAAGAAAUUUAAAGAAACAGAACAGAUCAAAGAGAAAGAAAUUAAACUUACUCUUGUUUAGGCGGAUAGUCCAAUAGUAUAAUUUGUGUAAAGUACUUUGGAUUAAGGCCUCCAAACAAGAAAUUAAACAGAGUUCAUUCUGUACAGAGCUCUCAACAAUGACGACAAAGUGGCGCCUCGCUCUUUGCAACCUUUCUUAGUUUUUUUACCUUCUGAAUUUUGAAGGAGUUAUCGGCCGUUCCUAGGGAUUUUAGCUUCGUCGUCUCCUCUUUGCAACCUUUCUGAGUUUAAUUCUUUAUAACCUUCUGAAUUUUAGCUUCGCCAUCUCUAGGGAUUUUAGGUACGAUCGAAUUUUACCUUCUGAAUUUUGAAGGAUCGAUCGGUUAGCGGUCGAGUCUCUAGGGAUUUUAGGCUGAAAGUACUUGUAUUUGAGAGAUUUUAGGGUGAAAAGAAA